GAACGCUGGCGGCAGGCCUAACACAUGCAAGUCGAACGGUAACAGGAAGAAGCUUGCUUCUUUGCUGACGAGUGGCGGACGGGUGAGUAAUGUCUGGGAAACUGCCUGAUGGAGGGGGAUAACUACUGGAAACGGUAGCUAAUACCGCAUAACGUCGCAAGACCAAAGAGGGGGACCUUCGGGCCUCUUGCCAUCGGAUGUGCCCAGAUGGGAUUAGCUAGUAGGUGGGGUAAAGGCUCACCUAGGCGACGAUCCCUAGCUGGUCUGAGAGGAUGACCAGCCACACUGGAACUGAGACACGGUCCAGACUCCUACGGGAGGCAGCAGUGGGGAAUAUUGCACAAUGGGCGCAAGCCUGAUGCAGCCAUGCCGCGUGUAUGAAGAAGGCCUUCGGGUUGUAAAGUACUUUCAGCGGGGAGGAAGGGAGUAAAGUUAAUACCUUUGCUCAUUGACGUUACCCGCAGAAGAAGCACCGGCUAACUCCGUGCCAGCAGCCGCGGUAAUACGGAGGGUGCAAGCGUUAAUCGGAAUUACUGGGCGUAAAGCGCACGCAGGCGGUUUGUUAAGUCAGAUGUGAAAUCCCCGGGCUCAACCUGGGAACUGCGUCUGAUACUGGCAAGCUUGAGUCUCGUAGAGGGGGGUAGAAUUCCAGGUGUAGCGGUGAAAUGCGUAGAGAUCUGGAGGAAUACCGGUGGCGAAGGCGGCCCCCUGGACGAAGACUGACGCUCAGGUGCGAAAGCGUGGGGAGCAAACAGUAUUAGAUACCCUGGUAGUCCACGCCGUAAACGAUGUCGACUUGGAGGUUGUGCCCUUGAGGCGUGGCUUCCGGAGCUAACGCGUUAAGUCGACCGCCUGGGGAGUACGGCCGCAAGGUUAAAACUCAAAUGAAUUGACGGGGGCCCGCACAAGCGGUGGAGCAUGUGGUUUAAUUCGAUGCAACGCGAAGAACCUUACCUGGUCUUGACAUCCACAGAACUUUCCAGAGAUGGAUUGGUGCCUUCGGGAACUGUGAGACAGGUGCUGCAUGGCUGUCGUCAGCUCGUGUUGUGAAAUGUUGGGUUAAGUCCCGCAACGAGCGCAACCCUUAUCCUUUGUUGCCAGCGGUCCGGCCGGGAACUCAAAGGAGACUGCCAGUGAUAAACUGGAGGAAGGUGGGGAUGACGUCAAGUCAUCAUGGCCCUUACGACCAGGGCUACACACGUGCUACAAUGGCGCAUACAAAGAGAAGCGACCUCGCGAGAGCAAGCGGACCUCAUAAAGUGCGUCGUAGUCCGGAUUGGAGUCUGCAACUCGACUCCAUGAAGUCGGAAUCGCUAGUAAUCGUGGAUCAGAAUGCCACGGUGAAUACGUUCCCGGGCCUUGUACACACCGCCCGUCACACCAUGGGAGUGGGUUGCAAAAGAAGUAGGUAGCUUAACCUUCGGGAGGGCGCUUACCACUUUGUGAUUCAUGACUGGGGUGA
rnacentral:rRNA from 1 species